rnacentral:rRNA from 1 species
AUGGUCGAAGGCUCGGAUGCGGACAACGCUAGUCUGAAAUUACUCCUCCUCUGCUUCCAGCAAAUGUCUGGUCUCAAGAUCACCUUCGACAAAAGCGAUGUGAUGGUGAUGGGCUACUCUCCGGCUGAGGCCCUCGGCAUUGCCAACCGCCUCAACUGCCGCCUAGGCUCCUUCCCAACGACAUACUUGGGAACGCCCAUUAGUGACUGCCGGCUCACUAUGGCGGACCUUCGCCCUACGGUCUCCAAGUUGCAAACGCGAAUGGAGCCGUGGCAAGGUCGAUGGCUCUCGAAGGCGGCCCGGACAAUCCUCAUCAACUCCUCGCUCUCUAGUCUCCUCAUAUUCCGUAUGAGCUUCUACAGUCUCCAUGAGACCCUCCAUCACGAGAUUGCUAUAAUUCAAUCUCGCUUCUAUUGGGCGGGAGACAAUAACAGGCAGACGUAUCAUAUGGUUAGUUGGCCCAACAUCUGCAAACCUCGGGACCAGGGAGGCCUUGGCAUCAUGUGCUCUAAGCGCAUGAAGAUUGCCCUCCUUUCUCGUUGGCUCUGGCGCAUCUCUCAGGGACAUGGCGGUCUGUGGUUA